rnacentral:rRNA from 1 species
UGGGGAAUUUUGGACAAUGGGCGAAAGCCUGAUCCAGCAAUGCCGCGUGUGUGAAGAAGGCCUUCGGGUUGUAAAGCACUUUUGUCCGGAAAGAAAUCCUUGGCUCUAAUACAGUCGGGGGAUGACGGUACCGGAAGAAUAAGCACCGGCUAACUACGUGCCAGCAGCCGCGGUAAUACGUAGGGUGCAAGCGUUAAUCGGAAUUACUGGGCGUAAAGCGUGCGCAGGCGGUUUGCUAAGACCGAUGUGAAAUCCCCGGGCUCAACCUGGGAACUGCAUUGGUGACUGGCAGGCUAGAGUAUGGCAGAGGGGGGUUAGAAUUCCACGUGUAGCAGUGAAAUGCGUAGAGAUGUGGAGGAAUACCGAUGGCGAAGGCAGCCCCCUGGGCCAAUACUGACGCUCAUGCACGAAAGCGUGGGGAGCAAACAGGAUUAGAUACCCUGGUAGUCCACGCCCUAAACGAUGUCAACUAGUUGUUGGGGAUUCAUUUCCUUAGUAACGUAGCUAACGCGUGAAGUUGACCGCCUGGGGAGUACGGUCGCAAGAUUAAAACUCAAAGGAAUUG